GCGAAGUCACUGACAACAUGAAAGGAGUUUACUGUAGGAAAUUGUGGUGAUUAUUGUCAUGUUUAUAACCCUUUUACGUCUCAAUUUCUCUGCUUUGUCGCUCCCCUGAAGGGGAAACGUGCCGAAAUUGGCCGAAUCACGAGUAAACACGCGAAAGUUUCCCAAGAAGCCGCGGAGGAAACUUUCGACAACACCAAUAACCCGAAACCACAUCUUACCGAAGUUGAUAAAACUACUUCAGUAAUGAAUGGGCCUGUUUCAGAAGACCAAGACGAUAUGGACUCGAAGGAAGAACCGAUGGAUACAUCUAUAACAGAUCCAAAUGGGAGGGAUUCCUCGAAAUCAGAGAUGGAAUUGGAGGAGGAUUCUGCCUGACCGGAAGGUGUUGUUCAUUUCGAUCCUACAGAGUCGAGGAAGUACCUGUUGAACAUCUUAAUUUAAGGAACGAUGAAGCUCUAAUUCCUGUCGCCCAUUUCCAAAAGGUAUAUAACUGAAGGCAUGCACAAACUUCCAUAGAGAAUUGUACCAUACAAAGUGCAUGUACAUUUUGUAUUAUAUUAUCAUCAAUUUCCCUUCAUCAACAAUCGCUAUUUUCCAUUAGGCUCUUGAACUAUAAACAACCUCUUUCGACUUCACCAUAAGCGGUCUUUAGUGCGCUUGAACUUAUUAUUCACAAUGUGAAUAAUGUAUGACAGAUAUAUGAGACAAAAUAUAUGAAUGAACAAAAUGUUGUCAUGCGCCGGAGCUGAUAGGCUCCAGACUGGUAUGCGAGGUGCUUUUGGCAAGCCUCUGGGAACUGUUGCUCGUGUCAACAUUGGUCAAACUAUUUUGUCAAUUAGAACAAAGCCCCAACACAAAGCAGCAUGUAUUGAAGCAUUCAGACGGUCCCUGGUCGUCAAAAAAUAUUUGUGUCAAAGAAAUGGGGUUUCACAAAAUUUGAUAAAGAAGAGUACGAGAAAGGUCGUUCGGAUGGUUCAAUCAAUCAUUCCUGCUGGUGUUCAUGCUCAGUAUCAUCCGAGCCAUGGCCCUCUGGCUGCCUGGAAAAAAAGAGUCGCUGAAAACGACAUACGUAACUCACAUUAGCAAACCCGUUUAAGAAAUAUCAGGAAAAUCAUAUAAAUGUAAUAUAAAGGAAUGUGGGGGAGGAUAUUUAUGUAAAAUAAUACAUUUAAUGUAUCGUGUCGACUGUUUUGUUAUUAUUUUAACA